CAGUAGCCACGGUAAUACGGAGGGUGCAAGCGUUAAUCGGAAUUACUGGGCGUAAAGCGCACGCAGGCGGUUUGUUAAGUCAGAAGUGAAAUCCCCGAGCUUAACUUGGGAACUGCAUUUGAAACUGGCAAGCUAGAGUCUUGUAGAGGGGGGUAGAAUUCCAGGUGUAGCGGUGAAAUGCGUAGAGAUCUGGAGGAAUACCGGUGGCGAAGGCGGCCCCCUGGACAAAGACUGACGCUCAGGUGCGAAAGCGUGGGGAGCAAACAGGAUUAGAUACCCCAGUAGUCCCUGUCUCUUAUAC
rnacentral:rRNA from 1 species